GGCCACCUUCUGUGGGGCAAUCAAUCAUGGGGCCCCCAGAUUGAUUGCCCUGCAGAGGGAGGCC
rfam:Myotis davidii contig1602, whole genome shotgun sequence.